rnacentral:rRNA from 1 species
GACGAACGCUGGCGGCGUGCCUAAUACAUGCAAGUAGAACGCUGAAGGAGGAGCUUGCUUCUCUGGAUGAGUUGCGAACGGGUGAGUAACGCGUAGGUAACCUGCCUGGUAGCGGGGGAUAACUAUUGGAAACGAUAGCUAAUACCGCAUAAGAGUAGAUGUUGCAUGACAUUUGCUUAAAAGGUGCAAUUGCAUCGCUACCAGAUGGAGCUUCGUUGUAUUGGGUAGUUGGUGGGGUAUCGGCUCACCAAGGCGACGAUACGUAGUAGCACUGUGAGGGGGAGCAGCCAGACUGGGAGUGUGACCGGCCACAGUGUGACUCAGGUAGCGGCAGGAGGGCAUCUUCGGCAAUGGACGGAAGUCUGUGCGAGCAAGGCCGCAUGAGUGAAGAGGGUUUUCGGAUGGUAGAGCUCUGUUGUAAGGGUAGAACGAGCGUGAGAGUGGAAAGUUCACACUGUGACGGUAACUUACCAGAAAGCAACGGCUAACUACGUG